UACGGAGGGUGCGAGCGUUGUUCGGAAUCACUGGGCGUAAAGCGCGUGUAGGCGGCCCACUAAGUCUGAUGUGAAAGCCCGGGGCUCACCCCCGGAAGUGCAUUGGAAACUGGUGGACUCGAGUCCCGGAGAGGAGAGUGGAAUUCCUGGUGUAGCGGUGAAAUGCGUAGAUAUCAGGAAGAACACCCGUGGCUAAGGCGGUUCUCUAGUACGGUACUGACGCUGAGACGCGAAAGCGUGGGGAGCGAACAGG
rnacentral:rRNA from 1 species